AUGACAUGCCCUAGCCUGCUGUGGGCACUCCUGGUCUCCACCUAUCUCGGAUCCAGCAUGGCCCAGACAGUCACUCAGUCUCAACAGCAAUUAUCUGUCCAGGAGGCACAGUCAGUGACCCUGAGCUGCACAUAUGACAUUAGUGGUAGUAAUUACUACUUGUUCUGGUACAAACAGCCUCCCAGCGGGGAGAUGAUUUUCAUUAUUCGCCAAGAAGCUUUUAUUCAAAAGAACGCAACAGAGAAUCGCUUUUCUGUGAACUUCCAGCCAGCAGCCAAGUCCUUCAGCCUCAGGAUCUCAGACUCACAGCUGGGGGAUGCUGCGAUGUAUUUCUGUGCUCUCAAUGACCCACAAAUAUAUGGACAAGGAACCUACAGUAAGCUCAUCUUUGGAAAAGGAACCCGUGUGACUGUGGAACCAAAACAUCAGCCUCCCACCAAACCAUCUGUUUUUGUAAUGAAAAAUGGGACGAAAGUUGCUUGUCUGGUGAAGGAUUUCUAUCCCAAGGAUGUAAAAAUAAGUCUCAACUCAUCCAAGAAGAUAACAGAAUUUGACCCUGCUAUCGUCGUCUCUCCCAGUGGGAAGUACAGUGCUGUCAAGAUUGGCCAGUAUGAAGACUCAAACUCAGUGACAUGUUCAGUUCAACAUAACAAUGAAAUCUUGAACUCCACUGACUUUGAGCUGAAGACAAAUCAUUCAGGUACUCCAGAGCUAAUGAAACCUGAAAACAAAGAGCAAACUUCAGAGAGCUGCCAUCAACCCAAAGUUCAUGCCGGGAAGGUGAACAUGAUGUCUCUCACGCUGCUGGGACUAAGAAUGGUGCUUGCCAAGAGUGUUGCCAUCAACUUUUUCUUGACUGCCAAGUUAUUUUUCUUUUAA